rnacentral:sRNA from 1 species
AAGAAAGCCGGAAAAGGAGGGGUUCGAACCCGACCAGAUGGGUUCGACCCGAGCGCAGCGAGGUCGCUGUCGCGUAGCGACAGUCCGAAGGACAAGGCCGCGUCAGCGGACGCAGCAAUCCCUCCCUCUCCGCCA